GACGAACGCUGGCGGCGUGCUUAACACAUGCAAGUCGAACGGAAAGGCCCCCUUGUGGGGUACUCGAGUGGCGAACGGGUGAGUAACACGUGAGUAACCUACCCUUGACUUUGGGAUAACUUCAGGAAACUGGGGCUAAUACCGGAUAGGAGCUCCUGCUGCAUGGUGGGGGUUGGAAAGUUUCGGCGGUUGGGGAUGGACUCGCGGCUUAUCAGCUUGUUGGUGGGGUAGUGGCUCACCAAGGCUUUGACGGGUAGCCGGCCUGAGAGGGUGACCGGCCACAUUGGGACUGAGAUACGGCCCAGACUCCAACGGGAGGCAGCAGUGGGGAAUAUUGCACAAUGGGCGGAAGCCUGAUGCAGCAACGCCGCGUGCGGGAUGACGGCCUUCGGGUUGUAAACCGCUUUCGCCUGUGACGAAGCGUGAGUGACGGUAAUGGGUAAAGAAGCACCGGCUAACUACGUG
rnacentral:rRNA from 1 species